AAAAUUUUGGUAACAGCUCACUAUGAACAAAAGCUACCUCAGGUUUCUGUUUGUUUAGUUUGUUUCCUCCAACUGUGAUUUCUCAUCCUCUUCCUGUUUUGCAGAAAUUCAGUGUAAUUUCCCUUUCACGAUGAUAUCCUCCCUUACGUUAACCUCCACAAUUCUUUUUUUCUAUUAUGAGUUUAUUCUUAAUCACACACCUUAUCUUUUUUUUAAGUGAGGUCUUAGCAGGCAUGGGAGACAAAUGCAUGUUCCUGGUCGGCCACCUUUGACAGCAAGAAUUUUUAUCUCUGUUCAGAAAUACUGGGAUGUAAAUAUUGAAAGAUAAGUAAAACAUAUAUACAUGUUUUUUCAAGGCCAAAAUUAUUCCCUGGAGAAAGCAUAUAUUCUUUAAAAAGCAAUUUCUGUUAAGCAUUUUACUAAGAUAAGUAAUAUUUACAUUUAUGAAUAAAUCUAGAUGCACAAUAGCUUCAAAUUGUAGCAACAUAGUCAUCAUAUCUGUUUAAUGUCCAUAUAACCAAUAUUAAGAUAACUUAGCUUAUUACAUAUUAUUAAUAAUAGUAAAGAUAGUUUAGAAACAUAAAAGUUUACUUGACCAAAAUAUGAACAUUUAUGUAAAUGUCGACUACACAUAAAUCAUGUUAUUAAAAAGAAAGCCUAAUUUUCUUACUAAAAAUAUAUUUCUGUUUCCCCAACUUUCUACCUUUUCUUACUACCAAGAAAUUCUCAUCUCUCCUUUGCAUCCCCAUCACCAGAAUAAAAGGAUUGGAUGAUAAGGGGUUUUGAAAGAUAGUCUUACAUUCCACUUAUCUCUAUCCUAAUACUCACAAACUAGCAAAUAAGCAACACAUCCUUUAAAAAUUCUAGUAUUCCCAUAUUUCAUAUUAAAUCAAAGUUGCACAUUCACAUAUACUAUCCAUGAUUCAAGGCAUAGCUAUAUAAUCUAACUACCAUGAGAGACUUAGUUUUUUUAAUUUUGAAAUCCAGCUUCAGAAAUUCAGCAUCUCCGAAAUCAAAGUAUUACAGAAGUGCUAGCAGAAAAUCAAUUUUUAAUAAAAUUUUCAAUAAACUACUUUGGAAGACAUCAUUUACUUUAAGAUAUGUAAGAAGAUUCCUAAAUAAAUAUUCUCAAUUCUUUCAUAAAUUGAUCAUAAAAUUCACACAAAAUGUAAUUGUAUAUUUCUAAAAUUUACACGUACUAAUCUCAAUGUGUACUACAAGUAAAUUCAAGCAAAUAAGUUUUAAAAUAUUUGAUACAUCAACUUUAUAUUAAUUAGAUUAAUACAUUUUAACAUAUUCUGGCUGUUCAUUUAAUAAAUAAAAGGAAAAUGUAUUAUGAUGUUCAUUCCCUGAUAAUGCAACAUCAAUCAAUUGGUUUUUUUAAUGUAACUAUGAAAAGUAAUUUCAAACUUAACUCUUGUUUGAAUUGUCAAAAUUAGCAGGUAUUUGUUUUGAAAUGUAAUAGGAUUUUAAUAAAUUUAAUUAGAAACAAUUUGGUUAAUUCAGUGGAAGAAUAGCAAAACAAAUCAUUUGAUAAUCCCUCAUCUUCCCUUUCCUGUUUCAUCACUCAUACUGUCAUCUUAAAAAGAAGUUUAUCCCUGAAUUACCUACUUCUGCUGUCUUGUCCAGAAGCCUUACCUAAUUACUGAAUCCCAUGAUCACUGUCAACUCCAAGUAGCCUUUUUCUUCUUCCUGUGACUUGCGGGGGCAACAAUAAGUGAGAAACACUUUGUUUUAUUCACUGCUCCAUGGCAGAUGGUAGUAAUUUAAACAUUUUUGAUAAAUAAAAAAUUGAAUGAAAAUAUAACAGCUAUAGUAAAUAAGCAUGCUAGACUUAGUAAGAUAAAUAUUACUUUUUCCACAUAUAUGACAUAAAAAUAAGGAUGACAAAAACUAUUAUUCAUAGUUUGUGAUGUGUUCACAAACUGUGAAUAAUUACUCAGCAGAGUAACCAUGAUGUGUGGUAGAAUGCUUCCUACACUUUGUUCAACUUGUUAUUUUCCGCCUCUUACCAACACACCUGAUACUUUCUUGACAUGUUUCUUAUUUUGUUUACUUUGUCAUUCAGCAGAGAAAAUACAGUUCAGCAUCCAUCUUUUAAAUUGUGCAGAGAGUAAAAAUACUCUGGGCCAAGAUAGCCAAUCAUAGUUUUUCUUUUAUUUAGAAAAAAUGCAACUUGAUAUUAAAAUACUGAGAAAGAAUUGGAAAUUAGAGUUGAGUGAUAGCAGAGAUAUUAAGAAAGGGAGAAAACUGACAGCGAAUCAAGGAAAGAAAAAUGAGACAUCUUGGUUGGGAAACUAGAGCACAUUGCAAAAUAUCCUUAAGAGUAAUGUGCCUGAUGACCAUUUUGGCAUUGAAAUUGAAAACAGGAUGUAGAAAGCAACAGAUAGAUAAAAUGCUUCGUUCAACUCUUGAGAACAUCUCGGCUGACCAGUAGUUUCUCUUCUGGGAAAAUGGAAACAGAAGGAAAACUUAGCUUAGACAAUCACUAUGCCUAUAAAUUAGUAGAGGUCUUGUUUACUGACUUAGCCAUGGGAAAAAGAAACUUUAUCAGAUAAGUCAUUGAAUAGCUCAUCCAAUUCCUUAAGUUUUAGAAGAGAAAGCAAUGAUACAAGGCAGUCAAGCAACUUGCUCAAGUUAAAUGCAUAUCUACUGACUUCUAGUGAGAUGGCCUUUCCAAGAUUUAUUUGACAGUGAAUUCUUUUAAAAUGACUAUUUAGACUUAAAGCUUCAAUACCAUUACAGCAGGCAAAAACAAAGGCAGCUAUGAAAACUUGCCCGUGAAGGGAGUGCAGAUCAAAGACUUGGGAGGGUUUUGGGAGGAAUUCUGAUAGUGGUAACAAAGUGAUGUCAUAAACCUCACAAAUAAAAGUUACCACAUUGAAACAUAAUAUAUUUUUUAAAAAAUAACUAUUUGGAAGUAGUAGAAAGUAUUCAAGUACAAACAAAAGCCAGAGGAAAUUUUAUUCUUAUAAAACUGUGUUUACAAAAGGUAGGAAAUGAUUGGAUAUUCUCUUUAAGAACACGUAUAACAAAGAGAAAAAGCCAGCCUAACCAGGUCAAAGAUGCAGGGGAAAUAACUCAGUACCAGGGGAGCAGCUGAGUAUUUGAAAAGGAAAUCCUGUAAGCAGGAGUACUACAGAAGGGGUGAGAGCCAAAAUUUGCAUGUUAAGUUCUGCAGAAAUCUCCAACUGGCCAGUAAAUUACAAAUGUGCAAAGAAGAGCCCUGUGUGUCUGGUAAAUAUAGACCAAAAAGUCAUAUAGUCCUGAAAGACAGAUUCACCAGGGAUUCCAUCUGUUGAUCUGAUGAUGGUUUUUCACUUGAGAGUUUCUCAGGGUGUCCUGGUUCUUUGUAAGCCACUUUUGCUGCUGCACAGUUAUGCACAAUUCGGGCUGCCAUUAAAGCAAAGAGUAGCUCCUUUCCUGUUCCUCUGGCCGGAAAGACCAUUUCUGAAAUUUGCUGCCUGAACCAAUUGCCCAGAAGCUGGAGCUGCCCUUGGACCAAAGCACAAAGAAAAAAGAGGAGAUAAUUAAUUGGGAAACUCACCCAAUAAAGAUUGUUUAUCAA